AUUGCCUCUCAACUGAGGGCAGGUGGAGGCCAAUUCCAGUUGACUCCAGAAGACGACAGGGCAGCGACCAUUUGAAAAAAACAAAAAAAAAACAACAGAGAAUAAAAAUAUCUGUGAGUGACAUUCAUGGAGCAGAUACUGUACGUUUACAAGGAAAUCAUGUGACCAUUCUGCAUAAACACUGUUCAUUGUAAUGACAGCUGACAUGUGAGUAAGAGCAGAUUUGCGCAGUCACAGCUGAGUGAGGCCCAAAGUAAACAGAGGAGGUUUGAUGACAGAGUAGUUUAACAGGCUGAAGCUGAACCAGAAACAAUGUUACUUAUUACAUGUUCUGUUGUACUAACAGCUUUGCUCCCAUCUCUAAAUCCAAUUUAAGUAGUAGAUGCAUAUUUUGGAGCGUGUUUUAUUCACGAGUUCAGAUGCACUAUAAAUACUCGGUGAUAACAGUGGCACUUUCAAAUAGAGUUCAAGAAAUGUGCAAUUAAAGUUUAGACACAUAUUUUCUAGCUGAUAAAUUGAUUUAAAAGGUAUUUUUCCAUUGCAAACACAACACUAAGUGAUGAGAUAAAUACAACCUUGCAAAAUGAGACUUGGUAGUUCUUAAAAAAAAAAGAAGUUUUACAUGCUUGUGUUUCCUGGGAUUACUUGCAAUGAAUUUCGAACACCUGAAAACUCACAGAAUCAAACGCCACUAAAUCAUGAAGCAAUUUUUUAAAAAUACCUCUUUGCUAUAAAACAACUAUUUAUAGAUUAUAGACUAAUAAACAUUCUUGGUGUUAUUUUUCUUCACAAUAUUAUACAUACAAGAGUAAAAAUGGCUUAAAUAAACAGAUUACGGCACAAUUUUACUUGUAAAGGGACAAUAAGCUUUGUUUCUACUCACAACUAACUUUUCCUUGGUUAUAUUGUGCUUCCUUCAAUUCUUCUUUGCUGUUGUGAGAUGUAUGGUAUUGUGCAACAAGUGGGAAGCUAGGUAUUAUUUGCAUAUUCAAAAUAAAUAAAUAAACAAUAAAUGAUGAAAUCUCUAUCAUUUUGCAUCAAUUGUCUAGCACAUAAAAAAAAUCCAAAUAGACACAUUGGAGUUCAACAGUUCAUGGCAUAUCAAUACUGAUGGAAGACACGACUUCAAACACUCAGAAGCCUUUCUAUCUAUAGAGCUAUGCUUGCUACCGCUGUAUAAACAUGCCAAGUUAUGUGAUUGUUAUUUUCAGUGCUGUCACAGAUGGAGUUCCUGCUUGCUCAUGAUUCUGACAGCCUAUUACGUAGCUGUCUCCUCUCUGAUCAGUGUCAAGGUGUUGACAACUUCAGUGCGAGACAAUUUAUUAUGGUAAUAUUGACGGAGCACUCACAGGAAUCCACAAAGGCAGAAGAAGAGCAUACAGCAAGCAAUGGGUAUUAAAAUUAUUGCUACUGCUGUCUCACGUUUAGACCUUUGCUGUGCUCAUCCUUUCGCUACUUCCCAUCUCUAUCUACCCAUUUGCCCUGGAAAUAAUUUGCAUAAACAAUAAGGAAAGGCUUCAGACUUUCUUGUGAGGCAAAGAUUCUGCAAAGCAAAUGAACCCAGCCAGAAUUUAUUGAGGCGGUGCUCUCACUAAAGCAGCAUGAGGUGAAUGUCAGAUGGGCUCUUCAGUGUUUCUCUCCAAUUUCAGCUGACGGAUAGAAGGGAAAGAAGGUCCCGUGGUUGCACACUCCAUCACUAGUGCCCUCUUCUAAAUGAGAUAACCAGGAGAGUGGGAGUGUGAAAGCCAAAAUAUGCUUUUCAUUUUGUCACUAGUAGGGGCCAUCCAUUAGGAGGACAGGGGUAAAAGAAGCAGUGUGACCAGCACCGGAGGACAUCGAUUCUCUUCCAGCAGCGACAGAGAAGCUAGUCCAGCUCGAGGAAAGAUGGAUGGGGCUAAAGACGAGACAAUCCUGUUAGAGGCAGCAGAAAAGUUGGAACUGGAGCAGAAAUUCGCCCUACAGCAAAACAAUGACCCUAAACAUACAGUCAAAGCUACAAAAGAACAACACUCGUGUGUUUGAACGGUCCAGUCAAGACCAAGAAUACAAAGCAGAAUAAAAAGCAACACUAAUGAAGCAGCAAA